AAGGCCUGGAUUGAAGAGAAGAGAUGUAAUGCCCAUACAUGGGGGUAAAAAUAGCAUGAUUGGGAAUCAUACAUUCAGCCUACAGCCAUUAAAGGGAAACAGUUGAACUGAUUCAGACGCUUUCUUAAGAGGAGAGGGUGGAGAGCCCUGAGAAGUGUCUGGGUUAUGAAGAGAGAAAAAUCGUGAGGAAUGUUGUCCUUUUGUAAGCAAAAAGAGGUUGAAGAAACAGUGAGCUCUUGCAUUUGUUAGUGCUGUAAGUGACUGAAAGGCACAGAGCCGCACUGUUCCCUAUGGCUCUGCACAUUCACUAGCCCAGAGCUCAGCAGCUGGAGUUUGGAUCCGCUUCAUCCGCUGUGCACUUCCACUAACCAACACUGCAUGUGUGACUGCAUACCUGGCCUCUCCGUGCCUGUGGUAGGUCCUUGCUUGUUUUACUGAAGUAAUAUGGAAGAAGGUUUGAAAGCAGAUCUCCUGCAGCCAGGCCACAACCUGAAGAAUCAUUUCACUUGUGCUCUCCUUUCUCUCUUCUCAAACCUGUCUCUCUCUCAAAAUCAGAGGACACUGACCUUUAACUUUUCACAAGCACUUCUGGAAACCCUAUCUUGGUUUGCCCGUACACACUUCUUUUUGGAGAAACAGGAAAUCAGCUU